GAUUCACACUUUUUUUGGAAAUCAAAUUAUUGUUUUUUACAUGCAAGUUAAAUUGAAGCAAAAGUUUUAUAUUAAAAAAAAUUCGAAAUCUGCGCGAUGAUUUUUUUUCUAAAUUCACAGUAACACCUACUGAUACUCCAGCUUCAAGCACACGAAUUGUUGGCUUCGUGUCAAUACGCCAAAAAUGUCCUACAAUCUUUGAAAAAAUGCUGAUUUUGACGCCUAUAUAUGAAAACUGCUCCUCGGUAUUCUGUCGGGAAUUGCUUCAAAGAGCGUUGUUGUAGCCUUCUGAAUCGCUUGCUACUAAUCGGAGGUUUCUUUUAGGACCGAUCCGAUGAGCAAUUAAAAGAGACCGCAACGCAGACAAAGUUUUGAAGAUUGAUAACAAUAUCUGGAGAUUGAAAAAGCCACCAUACAUUAUUUAUUCUCUCUUCAAGGGGUCUUAAGUCUGGAAAGAGUAGCAAUGAAUAAUCAAUUAGAACAUUGAAUGUUGUUUUUCGUUGUAUAAGCUAGCUGGUGAGAUGGCGAACAACAUAAGGGUAUUAGCAACAUUUUUUCCCGUCCAUUUUAGAUUUUUUUUAAAAGCGCUGUCAAGCUUUGCGUCAUCUACGAAACUUAAUCGUGAGAGUAUUCAAGUGAAACCUUGGACUCUAAACUCAAGGGACAGGAAAAGGAAAAAAGUGACAUUCCAGAGAAAAAAAAACAAAGCCAAUAGCCCCCAA